rnacentral:rRNA from 1 species
CCACGCCGUAAACGAUGUCUACUAGUCGUUGGGUCCCUUGAGGACUUAGUGACGCAGCUAACGCAAUAAGUAGACCGCCUGGGGAGUACGGCCGCAAGGUUAAAACUCAAAUGAAUUGACGGGGGCCCGCACAAGCGGUGGAGCAUGUGGUUUAAUUCGAUGCAACGCGAAGAACCUUACCUGGUCUUGACAUCCACGGAAGUUUUCAGAGAUGAGAAUGUGCCUUCGGGAACCGUGAGACAGGUGCUGCAUGGCUGU